UGCUGACGAGCGGCGGACGGGUGAGUAAUGCUUGGGAACAUGCCUUUAGGUGGGGGACAACAGUUGGAAACGACUGCUAAUACCGCAUGAUGUCUACGGACCAAAGGGGGCUUCGGCUCUCGCCUAAAGAUUGGCCCAAGUGGGAUUAGCUAGUUGGUGAGGUAAUGGCUCACCAAGGCAACGAUCCCUAGCUGGUUUGAGAGGAUGAUCAGCCACACUGGAACUGAGACACGGUCCAGACUCCUACGGGAGGCAGCAGUGGGGAAUAUUGCACAAUGGGCGCAAGCCUGAUGCAGCCAUGCCGCGUGUGUGAAGAAGGCCUUCGGGUUGUAAAGCACUUUCAGUCAGGAGGAAAGGUUAGUAGUUAAUACCUGCUAGCUGUGACGUUACUGACAGAAGAAGCACCGGCUAACUCCGUGCCAGCAGCCGCGGUAAUACGGAGGGUGCGAGCGUUAAUCGGAAUUACUGGGCGUAAAGCGUACGCAGGCGGUUUGUUAAGC
rnacentral:rRNA from 1 species